GGCCCCUUAGCUCAAUGGAUAGAGCAUCCCAUUUGCGACGGGCAGGUUGUCGGUUCGAGUCCGACAGGGGCCA
rnacentral:tRNA from 1 species